GUGAGGAAAGCUUUACAGAUCUCCACGUCUCUAAAAGCAAAACGAGAGAAUGAAUAAAGUCAGACAGGAGUUCUCUCUCACACUCUCUCUUUUAGUGUCUCACUCUUUCAUUGUAUCUCUAUCACUCUCUCUCUCACUCUCUGUGUAUCUUUCACUCUCAAUCCCUCUCUUUCAGUGUAUCACUCUCACUCACAUUCUUUCAGUAUAUCUCCAUCUCUCUUUUUAGUGUAUCUCUCUCACUCAUUCACUCUCUCUUUCAGUGUAUCUCUUUAAUGUUCUCUCUCACUCUCUUUCAGUUUAUCUGUAUCACUCUUUUUUAGUUUAUCUCUCUCACUCUCUCAGUGUAUCUCUUUCACUUUCUCUUAGUGUCUCUCUCACUUUCUCUGUUUAUCUUUUUCUCUUUCAAUUCAAUCUGUCUCACUCUCUCUUCCAGUUUAUCUCUCACUCUCAGUUGUUCAUUUUCCCUUUUAGUUUAUCUUUCUCAUUCUCUUUUUCAGUGUCUCACUCUCUGUGUAUCUCUCACUCUCUCUGUGUAUCUUUCACUCAAUCACUCUCUCUCUCUUUCAGUGUAUCUCUCACUCUCUCAGUGUAUCACUCUUACUCUCACUCAUUCUUUCAGUGUAUCUCCCUCACUCAUUCACUCUCUCUUUCAGUGUAUCUCUCACUCUCUCAGUGUAUCACUCUUACUCUCACUCAUUCUUUCAGUGUAUCUCCCUCACUCAUUCACUCUCUCUUUCAGUGUAUCUCUUUCACUUUCUCUCUCUCAGUUUAUCUUUCUCACUUAUUCUCACAGUUAAUCUCUCUCACUCUUUUUAGCUUAUCUCUCUCUCUCUCGUGUCUCUCUCACUUUCUCUGUUUAUCUCUUUCUCUUUCAGUUGAUCUCUCUCACUUUCUCUUUCAGUUUAUCUCUCUCCCUUUCAGUUUAUCUUUCACACUCUCCUUUUCAGUGUAUCACUCUUUGUGUAUCUCUCACUCUGUCUCUCUCACACUCUCACUCACAAUCACUGUCACACUCUCUGUGUAUCUCUCACUCUCAAUCACUCACUCUCUUUCAGUGUAUCUCUCUCACUCAUUCUCUCUCUCUUUCAGUUUAUCUCUCUCCUUGAUUUCAGGGAUGGAAAGCUGAAUUUUGAACACAGUAAAUUGGUUUUAGGUAUUAAGGCUUGUGUAAAUUGUACUGCAGCUGAUUGUUUGACUCAGUUUCCUUUUCCAGAGCUGUUUAUUAACCCAUGAGUUUCUGAGGCUGAGUGCAGUGAUAUACACCUUCUCUCUGAGGAAAGUUUCUAGAAGUUAG
rnacentral:lncRNA from 1 species